rnacentral:misc_RNA from 1 species
CGAGUCGUUACUCUAACCGUUCGCGGAGGAGGGCGCCGAAGGCAGGGCUGAUGACUGGGGUGAAGUCGUAACAAGGUAGCCGUACCGGAAGGUGUGGCUGGAUCACCUCCUUUUAGGGAGACCUCACACUCAUCUAGACCGAACCAAUCAGAAUUAAGUCAGAUGAGAGUCAUCCCAAGGUCGUUGAGGUAUAGAAAAAAUUCAGACGAAUCUUUCAAACUAUUAACUAGGUGAAGGACAUGGGCUAUUAGCUCAGGUGGUUAGAGCGCACCCCUGAUAAGGGUGAGGUCCCUGGUUCGAGUCCAGGAUGGCCCACUUGCCCACCUAUCGCCCAUCUUAAUGGCUAAGGGGGUUUAGCUCAGUUGGUAGAGCGCCUGCUUUGCAAGCAGGAUGUCAACGGUUCGAGUCCGUUAACCUCCACCAAUUAAGUUUGCUUUAUCAUCCAUCACCAAACGCUAUUGGCACACAGCACCUCGAUAUGUUUUGACAGUUAUUAAAACUAGUCAACACGCAUAUGAGUCUGCUGGGUUCGCCCAGCGAGAACCUUGAAAACUGCAUAUGAGCAAGAAAUUGCUAGGUAGAAUCAAUUAUCUGCGAGUGAGUAACGCGUAGAUAAUAACGAUUCACAGACACCAAAAAAUCAAAGAACAAAUUGGUCAAGCUACAAAGGGCUUAUGGUGGAUACCUAGGCACACAGAGA